UACGUAGGGUGCAAGCGUUAAUCGGAAUUACUGGGCGUAAAGCGUGCGCAGGCGGUUUGGUAAGACAGAUGUGAAAUCCCCGGGCUCAACCUGGGAAUUGCAUUUGUGACUGCCCGACUAGAGUGUGUCAGAGGGGGGUAGAAUUCCACGUGUAGCAGUGAAAUGCGUAGAGAUGUGGAGGAAUACCGAUGGCGAAGGCAGCCCCCUGGGAUAACACUGACGCUGCAUGCACGAA
rnacentral:rRNA from 1 species